UACAGAGGGUGCAAGUGUUAUUCGGAAUUAUUGGGUGUAAAGCGUCUGUAGGUUGGUAUUUAAGUCAUUUGUUCCAAUUUUAAGCUUAACUUAAAAACGCAAACGAAACUAAAUAUCUGAGAGUAAGAUAGAGGUAAUGGGAACUUCCAGUGAAGCAGUGAAAUGCGAAGAUAUUGGAGGGAACACCAAAAGCGAAGGCACAUUACUGGGUCUUUACUGACACUGAGAGACGAAAGCUUUGGUAGCAAAAAGG
rnacentral:rRNA from 1 species